rnacentral:misc_RNA from 1 species
AGACUGUGCGGAGGAGUGUGCAACUUUUUGGACGGAGAGAUGUUGGCCGUGGGCAGCAACCCGUGGABUCGCUGAUAAGAUCGUCUAGAGGAUGGGGACCUAAGGACCCCCACUGGCUCUCUCUCUUCUGUCAGAGCGGCUUGGUAGGCCGCCAGAGUGGACCGCUCGAGCGUAAUGAAGACCUGUAAGYGGUCCGCUCUGGAGCCUGCAGGGUCCAUGUCCUUCRCCCUUAGUUGGAGACUGUGGGUGCUUGGUGUGGUCCUGUKGGUGGCCCGCCAUGAAGCUCCGAUACUCAACCCUUUAGCCCUGUCCGUUGAUACUUGUGGACCUCGCAGGAACCACUCGAACGAAUCGGAUACACAGGGAGUGCCUAGGGGAUGGGCCAGCWUUGAACUGGRCAUCAACGGCAUCGGCUAGACACAGGACAGCACCGGCGGAAGAUACUAACGCCUCGCCUCCUGUGGCUCUGUGAAARCAGACACUGAUCGACCCACCUCAGUCACCGAGUACCUGGAUUAAGGGGAAAGGAGGGGGUYGWUUGCCGCGUCCCCGGCUGGCRUAAYGCGAGCCCCGCGGUAGGAGWAAUAGCGCAGUGGUUAGGAAAGCUGUGCGGCGCCGACGCGACGGAGCCAAAUACGAAGGACUGUGGCUAGGCUGCCUUUGGCCGAUGCCGUCAUGCACUGGGGUAGUACCCCAGCCCAGAACACACUGGGGAGUCUCCCUUCACUCGCGGUGCCCUGAGACGGGCACUACUACCUAAUAAGUAGAUCCCAUCUAGC